rnacentral:rRNA from 1 species
GACGAAGGAUGCAAGCGUUAUCCGGAUUCAUUGGGUUCAAAGGGAGCGUAGGCGGCCUUGUAAGUCAGUGGUGAAAUCUCUCGGCUUAACCGAGAAAUUGCCAUUGAUACUGCAGGGCUUGAGUACAGUUGCCGUUGGCGGAAUAUGACAUGUAGUGGUGAAAUACAUAGAGAUGUCAUAGAACACCGAUUGCGAAGGCAGCUAACGAAACUGUAACUGACGCUGAGGCUCGAAAGUGCGGGGAUCAAACAGG